UCAGGAUGAACGCUAGCGGCAGGCCUACACAUGCAAGUCGAGGGGCGAGCACGGUGUAGCAAUACACUGGUGGCGACCGGCGCACGGGUGCGUAACGCGUAUGCAACCUACCCAUAACAGGGGGAUAACACUGAGAAAUUGGUACUAAUACCCCAUAACAUCAGGACCGGCAUCGGUUCUGGUUGAAAACUCCGGUGGUUAUGGAUGGGCAUGCGUUGUAUUAGCUGGUUGGUGAGGUAACGGCUCACCAAGGCAACGAUACAUAGGGGGACUGAGAGGUUAACCCCCCACAUUGGUACUGAGACACGGACCAAACUCCUACGGGAGGCAGCAGUGAGGAAUAUUGGUCAAUGGACGCAAGUCUGAACCAGCCAUGCCGCGUGCAGGAAGACGGCUCUAUGAGUUGUAAACUGCUUUUGUACGAGGGUAAACGCUCUUACGUGUAAGAGCCUGAAAGUAUCGUACGAAUAAGGAUCGGCUAACUCCGUG
rnacentral:rRNA from 1 species